AGUGAACGCUGGCGGCGUGCCUAAUACAUGCAAGUCGAACGGUAACAGGAAGUAGCUUGCUCCUUUGCUGAUUAGUGGCGCACGGGUGAGUAAUGCAUAGGUCAUGUGCCCCAUAGUCUGGGAUAGCCACUGGAAACGGUGAUUAAUACUGGAUACUCCCGAGAGGGGAAAGUUUUUCGCUAUGGGAUCAGCCUAUGUCCUAUCAGCUUGUUGGUGAGGUAAUGGCUCACCAAGGCUAUGACGGGUAUCCGGCCUGAGAGGGUGAACGGACACACUGGAACUGAGACACGGUCCAGACUCCUACGGGAGGCAGCAGUAGGGAAUAUUGCUCAAUGGGGGAAACCCUGAAGCAGCAACGCCGCGUGGAGGAUGAAGGUCUUCGGAUUGUAAACUCCUUUUCUAAGAGAAGAUUAUGACGGUAUCUUAGGAAUAAGCACCGGCUAACUCCGUG
rnacentral:rRNA from 1 species